rnacentral:rRNA from 1 species
AUACGUAGGGGGCAAGCGUUGUCCGGAAUCACUGGGCGUAAAGGGCGCGUAGGCGGUUUGUUAAGUCAGGUGUGAAAGUUUUCAGCUCAACUGGAAAAGUGCACUUGAAACUAACUUACUUGAGUACUGGAGAGGUAAGCGGAAUUCCUAGUGUAGCGGUGAAAUGCGUAGAUAUUAGGAAGAACACCGGUGGCGAAGGCGGCUUACUGGACAGAGACUGACGCUGAGGCGCGAAAGCGGUGGGGAGC